ACAGGGCUUGACAUCCUACGAACCCAAAGGAAACUUUGGGGUGCCCUUCGGGGAGCGUAGAGACAGGUGGUGCAUGGUUGUCGUCAGCUCGUGUCGUGAGAUGUUGGGUUAAGUCCCGCAACGAGCGCAACCCCUGUGUUUAGUUGCUAACGAGUAAUGUCGAGCACUCUAGACAGACUGCCGGUGAUAAACCGGAGGAAGGUGGGGAUGACGUCAAAUCAUCAUGCCCCUUAUGUUUUGGGCUACACACGUGCUACAAUGGCCGGUACAGACGGAAGCGAAGCCGCGAGGUGGAGCCAAUCCGAGAAAGCCGGUCUCAGUUCGGAUUGCAGGCUGCAACUCGCCUGCAUGAAGUCGGAAUCGCUAGUAAUCGCAGGUCAGCAUACUGCGGUGAAUACGUUCCC
rnacentral:rRNA from 1 species